rnacentral:rRNA from 1 species
UGGGAAUUUUGGACAAUGGGCGAAAGCCUGAUCCAGCAAUGCCGCGUGUGUGAAGAAGGCCUUCGGGUUGUAAAGCACUUUUGUCCGGAAAGAAAUCCUUGGCUCUAAUACAGUCGGGGGAUGACGGUACCGGAAGAAUAAGCACCGGCUAACUACGUGCCAGCAGCCGCGGUAAUACGUAGGGUGCAAGCGUUAAUCGGAAUUACUGGGCGUAAAGCGUGCGCAGGCGGUUUGCUAAGACCGAUGUGAAAUCCCCGGGCUCAACCUGGGAACUGCAUUGGUGACUGGCAGGCUAGAGUAUGGCAGAGGGGGGUAGAAUUCCACGUGUAGCAGUGAAAUGCGUAGAGAUGUGGAGGAAUACCGAUGGCGAAGGCAGCCCCCUGGGCCAAAUACUGACGCUCAUGCACGAAAGCGUGGGGAGCAAACAGGAUUAGAUACCCUGGUAGUCCACGCCCUAAAACGAUGUCAACUAGUUGUUGGGGAUUCAUUUCCUUAGUAACGUAGCUAACGCGUGAAGUUGACCGCCUGGGGAGUACGGUCGCAAAGAUUAAAACUCAAAUGAAUUGACGGGGUCAUAGCUGUUU